UCACCUAAGCUGAAGCUGGGCCGCCAUGACAGGCCCCACCGUGCCAGGAGGCCAGGGGCCAUGGGGUACCAGUGGUCAAACUCCCUCUGGAAUAGAGGACCAUCCUUUCGUGACACAGUCAGAAAGUAGCUUACUCUCAAUGCAUACCUCGUUCACCUCACUUCAUCUCAUCAGGAACCUUGUGCCUUCAGCCAGCAUCCUUGAAACUACAGUAGAAUAAUUUUUCAGCUUGCAAGUCAGUCAAGUAAAGUCUCAGACGCUUCACAGUUCUUGACACAAUGGAGUUCUGUACUGUCUCCUUUUGUUGUAUUUUGUUUUGUUUAAACUUGUUCACAUUUUUAUAAAGUGCUCCUUUAUUAAACUCUCUUCAAAUUACCCA